UACGAAGGGGGCUAGCGUUGCUCGGAUUCACUGGGCGUAAAGGGUGCGUAGGUGGCUUGGUAAGUUCGAUGUGAAAUCUCCGGGCUUAACCCGGAAAUGGCAUUGAAUACUAUUGAGCUGGAGGUUUGGAGGGGGGACUGGAAUUCUCGGUGUAGCAGUGAAAUGCGUAGAUAUCGAGAGGAACACCAGUGGCGAAGGCGAGUCCCUGGACAACACCUGACACUGAGGCACGAAAGCUAGGGGAGCAAACAGG
rnacentral:rRNA from 1 species